rnacentral:rRNA from 1 species
GACGAACGCUGGCGGCGUGCUUAACACAUGCAAGUCGAAGCGGUAAGGGCCCUUUCGGGGUACACGAGCGGCGAACGGGUGAGUAACACGUGGGUGACCUGCCCUCCAGCUCUGGGAUAAGCCUGGGAAACCGGGUCUAAUACUGGAUAUGACUCCAUGACGCAUGUUGUGGAGUGGAAAGCCUUGUGCGGCUGAGGAUGGGCCCGCGGCCUAUCAGCUUGUUGGNGGGUGAUGCCUACCAAGGCGACGACGGGUAGCCGGCCUGAGA